UGACAUUCUUUGGCAGCUGCAAAGAUGAAUUAAUUUUCUUUGUUAUUUGAAAGGGUGCCUGUUUUCUAGGUUUCUGGUUUUAAAUCAGUCUGAAGUGUUUGGGAAAUGUUACUCUGGAUUUAUAUAUCGAUCCUCCCAACAUUAGUGCAAAAUUUAGAUGAAAAAGUUAAUUCUACCACAUGUGUUGAAGCUGCUGAUAAACAUAGAUCUGCACUACUAGAUUGUCACGGAGGUUAUAUUUCCCAUAUUUCAUUCGAAUCUGGCACAGGGAGAUGUUGGCAACAAGAUUGAAAAUGUAUUGGAAGGACGCUUGGUUCAUUGGUGAACUUUCUUGUUUGUCACUGGCGCAAAAUCUGUUAUAUCCGCUGGCCAACAGGCCAGAUCUUUAGCCAGUAUUUUGUCGGAGGUUGUAUUGGCAAACAACCAACUUUUAUGUCGGUCAGUUUUAAGUGCUUCAAACCAACCGAUUUCCUAUUGGGCUAUGGCUACCUCAAGACACCGGGAUCAGGU